AUUCACAGUCCUGUGAAUUAGAGGCAGUACGCACCUGCAAUCAUCAGUGCUGACAGGCAGCAAGACUCCCUAUCAGUCCAGCUCAGAUAACGUUCUGAUGCAGCUGCACAGACACAAGGUCAACCUCACUGAGUUGUAACGGGUUACUAUGGUGAUGGGACGUCACUAUGAUUCUCCACGCCCCCCCUAUGUUGCCGGGUCGCCGGCGCGGGAGCGCGCCAAUGACGUCAUCGGCUCGAGGAGGGUGCCGUGGAAGCAAGUGCACGAGGUGUUGGGCUUCAUCAGCGUUCCCAAACUCGGUCGCCUAUGGAUUUUUAAAAUGUGGAGAGGAGUUGGAGAUUUCUAAUGCAGCAGAACUUAUCGAUUCUAUUUAUUUAGAUACCCCAAAAUUACAUACAUUUAUAAGUAAUAUAUCCAAACAGGGGUGCUGCCUCAGACCAAUAUUAAUUAUGGAGGAACAAAGGAAAGAAAAUGGAGUCCAAUUGUGGCGCACUAAGUAGAAAAGAGUAUUAAAAUUUAACUUUUAUUAAUUCAAUGUUAACAUAUUCAUGUAUCAAAACAGUGAAAUAUUGUCUAGAAGAUAAUAAAGUGAAUAAAAAGAAAAAUAUUUUUUUUUGUGUGUAUUAAAAACUCAACUGUGUAUCCAAUUCCUGU